CUCAACGGUGCAGGGUUUAAGGCUUAGCUUAAGAAGACCUUAUAUUUUCGGAUCCCAAAGAAAAAAAAUCAAAGACAUGGCCGUCGCCGCUGCUUCCUUCGCCGCCAGAUCUGUAUUCCGGUCGUCCUCAGUUCGUAGCGCCGCCACCAGGUUCGGCUCCCAAGCGAAGGCUGCUCGCUUCCCCUUCCGCCGUCCUUCCAGGAACCCCCUGGCUCACCGCAUCUUCCGGUGUCCUGCUGAGAUGAGUGCGUGUGUGGGCUCAAUGCUACCCUACCAUAGCGCCACUGCCUCGGCAUUGAUGACGUCGAUGCUAACUGUCUCUCGCUGCGGUUACGGUUGGCUUCCUGAAGAUAUCUAGCGACACCUGUAGGGCCCUCGUUUGCUGUUCUGUUCCAUCAUUCACAUCUCCGCUUGCAAUGACCUGUGAUCAGCAUCAUCCUUCAAGGCUUCCAGCAAGGUUUUCCAUUCAAAACUGUGCAUGCUGGAAGUUUAUGAGCCAGAUGUAUUAAAUAAGGCCGCUAUCAUCUUUAUUUUUUUGGUGGGAUAGUCCAGGGGUUUUUGGUUGAACCAUAUUGUCAUAUGCUGCUGUAAUGACUUCCAACUGGCUGUAAAAUAAUUGCCGAUACUUUUUGAUUCCUAAGACAUAUUUGACAUCAAUUGGCUAUUGAAAGCAAAUUGAUCUUUAAUGGAUGCACACUAAAUCGGAAUCUACCCUUCUUAUA